rnacentral:rRNA from 1 species
UGAUAUUACCUUAUUAUUAGUGUCGUCCAAAACUGGUGCCAGAAGACUCGGUAAGGCCAGAGACACAAACGUUAAUCGUCUUAAUCAGGCGUAAAGGGUUUGUAGGCGGCUUUAAAAUUUACUUAUAUAAAUAAAAAGUAAAAAAUAAAAGCUAGAAUCAAAUAGAGGAUAUAUGAAAUAACGCUUAGAGUAGGUCUGAUAUCCUUAGAUACUAAGUAGAAUAUUAAAGGCGAAAGCUUUUUUCCAUUAAUGAUUGACGCUCAGAAACGAAGGUGAGGAUAGGAAAUAGGAUUUGAUACCCAGAAUACCCCUCUCUGUCAACGAUGAAUGGUAGUUAUUAGUAAAAAUUUAUUAAUGGCAAUGUUAACACGAUAACCAUUCCGCCUUGUGAGUACAACUGCAAAGUUGAAAACAAAAAAA